rnacentral:rRNA from 1 species
CGGAGGGUGCGAGCGUUGUCCGGAAUCACUGGGCGUAAAGGGCGCGUAGGUGGCGCGAGUAGUCAACGGUGAAAGCCCGGGGCUCAACCCCCGGGUCGGCCGUCGAUACUCUCGUGCUUGAGCACUGUAGAGGCAGGUGGAAUUCCGGGUGUAGCGGUGGAAUGCGUAGAGAUCCGGAAGAACACCGGUGGCGAAGGCGGCCUGCUGGGCAGUAGCUGACACUGAGGCGCGACAGCGUGGGGAGCAAACAGGAUUAGAUACCCUGGUAGUCCACGCCGUAAACGAUGGGCACUAGAUGCUUGGGGGAGCGACCCUCUGAGUGUCGGCGCUAACGCAUUAAGUGCCCCGCCUGGGGAGUACGGCCGCAAGGCUG